rnacentral:tRNA from 1 species
GCGAGCGUGGUGGAACUGGUAGACACGCCAGAUUUAGGUUCUGGUGCCGCAAGGUGUGGGGGUUCAAGUCCCUUCGCUCGCACCA